rnacentral:rRNA from 1 species
GGCGAACCACACGAACGUUAUUCGGAAUUACUGGGCGUAAAGGGCGCGUAGGCGGCCUGCUAAGUCGAACGUGAAAUCCCUGGGCUCAACCCAGGAACUGCGUCCGAUACUGGAAGGCUUGAAUCCGGGAGAGGGAUGCGGAAUUCCAGGUGUAGCGGUGAAAUGCGUAGAUAUCUGGAGGAACACCGGUGGCGAAGGCGGCAUCCUGGACCGGUAUUGACGCUGAGGCGCGAAAGCCAGGGGAGCAAACGGG